rnacentral:rRNA from 1 species
CCUACGGGCGGCAGCAGUGAGGAAUAUUGGUCAAUGGACUAGAGUCUGAACCAGCCAAGUAGCGUGAAGGAUGACUGCCCUAUGGGUUGUAAACUUCUUUUAUAUGGGAAUAAAACGUUCCACGUGUGGGAUUUUGUAUGUACCAUAUGAAUAAGGAUCGGCUAACUCCGUGCCAGCAGCCGCGGUAAUACGGAGGAUCCGAGCGUUAUCCGGAUUUAUUGGGUUUAAAGGGAGCGUAGGUGGAUUGUUAAGUCAGUUGUGAAAGUUUGCGGCUCAACCGUAAAAUUGCAGUUGAAACUGGCAGUCUUGAGUACAGUAGAGGUGGGCGGAAUGCGUGGUGUAGCGGUGAAAUGCUUAGAUAUCACGAAGAACUCCGAUUGCGAAGGCAGUUCACUGGACUGCAACUGACACUGAGGCUCGAAAGUGUGGGUAUCAAACAGGAUUAGAUACCCCAGUAGUC